GAGGGGAUAACUCAGUGGUAGAGCACGUGCUUAGUGCCCACGAGGUCCUGGGUUCAGUCCCCAGUACCUCCA
rnacentral:tRNA from 1 species